rnacentral:sRNA from 1 species
CCGUGAGGUCAGAGGUCCAGAGGGUCAAGUUGUCCCUCAGGAGCUGCAUGAUCAAAGUGCUGUCCUUGUAAGACUCCUCCCCGAGGGUAUCCAACUCGGAGAUGGCUUCGUCAAACGCCUGUAGCAAACGGUUGCAAGCCUUGUCUGGAGAGUUUAGAAUCUCGUAGUAGAACACAGAGAAGUUAAGUGCCAGUCCAAGCCUUAUGGGAUGGGUGGGAGCAAGAUCCGCCAGAGCAAUAUCCUGAGCAGCCUUGUAAGCCACCAUUGUGCUCUCAGCAGCUUCCUUUCUCUCGGCACCAGUCUUAAAUUCCGCAAGGUACCUGUGGUAAUCACCCUUCAUCUUGAGGUAAAACACCUUAGAUUCUGCAGCAGUAGAUGAGGGCACAAGGUGUGAGUCAAGCAACUUCAGGAUACCAUCGCAAAUCUUGCUCAGCUCAGCUUCAAUCUUGCCACGGUACUCCUUGAUCAGAGUAACAUGUUCCUCAUUGCCACGACCCUCCUCCUUCUGUUCAAUGGAUGAGACAAUACGCCAGGAGGCACGGCGGGCACCAAUCACAUUCUUGUAAGCAACAGACAAGAGGUUGCGCUCCUCAACAGUGAGCUCUUCCACAUCUACAGUCUUUGCAACCUUCUCCAUGUACUCAACCAUCUCCUCAUACCUUUCAGCCUGCUCGGCCAGCUUGGCCAUGUAGACAUUCUCCUCCCGAGA